AGGUGAAAGUUGCAUAUCAAGUUGUGUCACUGUUCCAGUGAAGAAAAUGAACUCAAGCAGAAAGAAGAAUCAUGGUGGAUGCUCAGACCUUUUAUCUCCCCAAACAGAAGCUGACCUCUUCAGUAAGGACAGAACUUCAGAUGUGGAUGAUGAAAAUACCACAUUGACUGAGACUGUCCCACACCAGAG